rnacentral:rRNA from 1 species
UACGGGGGGGGCAAGCGUUGUUCGGAAUUACUGGGCGUAAAGGGCUCGUAGGCGGCCCACUAAGUCCGACGUGAAAUCCCCAGGCUUAACUUGGGAACUGCGUCGGAUACUGGUGGGCUUGAAUCCGGGAGAGGGAUGCGGAAUUCCAGGUGUAGCGGUGAAAUGCGUAGAUAUCUGGAGGAACACCGGUGGCGAAGGCGGCAUCCUGGACCGGCAUUGACGCUGAGUGAGCGAAAGCCAGGGGAGCAAACGGG